GCGUCCUUGGUGUAGCGGUAACACACAAUCUACUUCUUUGCGUGAUAAAUAUGUGAGGUUGGGUCCGGGUUCGACUCCCGAGGGCGCA